AUUUCAGUGAUGAAUACUAGUUUGUAAUAAUUAGCAAAAUCUAACAUCUGAGAAUCAAUCACAUCUUUGUUUUCAUCUUGCAGGGAAGGCAAUGAGACCUUAAUGAGUCUCUGUGUGUGUAAAUGAGGUCAGGUUUAUUUCCAGUGUAGGAGGUAAUGUGUUUCUGUGCUUCGUGGCCAAUAGCCAAGAAUCUUUCUUUCACGUAUAAAGG
rnacentral:lncRNA from 12 species